UAAACGACUCUCGGCAACGGAUAUCUCGGCUCUCGCAUCGAUGAAGAACGUAGCGAAAUGCGAUACUUGGUGUGAAUUGCAGAAUCCCGCGAACCAUCGAGUCUUUGAACGCAAGUUGCGCCCGAAGCCAUUAGGUUGAGGGCACGCCUGCCUGGGCGUCUCA
rnacentral:rRNA from 1 species